CUAAUUGGAGCUUGCUCCGGGAAGAUCGAGUGGCGGACGGGUGAGUAACACGUGAGCAACCUGCCUUUCAGAGGGGGAUAACGUUUGGAAACGAACGCUAAUACCGCAUAACAUAUACUGGUGGCAUCAUUGGUAUAUCAAAGGAGCAAUCCGCUGAAAGAUGGGCUCACGCCCGAUUAGAUAGUUGGUGGGGUAAUGGCCUACCAAGUCUGCGAUCGGUAGCCGGACUGAGAGGUUGAUCGGCCACAUUGGGACUGAGACACGGCCCAGACUCCUACGGGAGGCAGCAGUGGGGAAUAUUGCACAAUGGAGGAAACUCUGAUGCAGCGACGCCGCGUGAGUGAAGACGGUCUUCGGAUUGUAAAGCUCUGUCUUCGGGGACGAUAAUGACGGUACCCGAGGAGGAAGCCACGGCUAACUACGUGCCAGCAGCCGCGGUAAUACGUAGGUGGCGAGCGUUGUCCGGAAUUACUGGGUGUAAAGGGAGCGCAGGCGGGGAGCCAAGUUGGAUGUGAAAUACCGCAGCUCAACUGCGGGGCUGCAUCCAAAACUGGUUCUCUUGAGUGAAGUAGAGGUAGGCGGAAUUCCUAGUGUAGCGGUGAAAUGCGUAGAUAUUAGGAGGAACACCAGUGGCGAAGGCGGCCUACUGGGCUUUAACUGACGCU
rnacentral:rRNA from 1 species